rnacentral:snoRNA from 1 species
AAUGGAUGAUGAAAUUAUUGAUGGGUGGAUAAAACUGUGUGCUGAUUGUCAUGUUCUGAUUU